GUCCCUGAGGGUUGAGCUGUCCCGCCAGGGCUUGUCCGCGCAGCCUUCUCUCGGCCUCAGCUCUUCAGCCCUCGGGUGCGUCCCUCCUCACUAGUUAGGAGGCGCGGUCGUCGGGCUUAAGACAAAUCUAACCAUAAAAUUUGCGCGGCCGUUAUUGUUUAAGCAAAAAUGCUAGCUAUUUUUGCCAAACAUCGUAGCUGCUGAACUAGCGAAGACUGUAGCAGGAAACCGAAUAUCAAGAAUGAGCAGGAGUGUGACAGGUGAAAAAGUUUUUAGCUGGACACAUGCUUGGAACGGAAAAGGGAAAUAAUCCGGGUCGGCGGCUGGUCUCCAAAGUGCUUAAUCUCCUCCCCGGCUCUACGGGAAGUAGCUGCUGUGCGCGGUGAAGGAGCCCUGAUCCAGGAGAAGAAUGCAGGAAGACCGGAGCGGACUGGGAAUUUCGCCCAGAUAAAUGAGUAAGGUCGUCAACAGUAGAAGGUGACCUUCUUUCGCAGGAGAGACAGGAGGACAGGGCAACUGCACUGGAGGAGCUUCUGGCAGUUAAAACUAUUCUAGAGGUUUCAAGUCUAAUAACUACAAACUGCUCAGUUCCAGUAGCAUUAAAGUAGAUUAACUACAGUAAGGAUUAGAAACGGUAAAGGAUUCAAAUUUGCAAGAUCAGAGCCACCAAAACAAGAGUGAGUUAUGGAUGCUCUUCAAAUGGCCCAGUGCGAUAUACUUUCUCACAGUCAAUGCAGCAGUAGAGGAAAUACUGAUGGACGUCAGCCACCAAACUAGGAUGGAUACCGUGUAUGUCCAUAAAGACUUCUUCCAUAGCAGCAACAAGCCUAAUGGUCUGGAACUGAACCUGCAAUAUCUCAGAGGUCUGCUUGUGAUUUAAAAGAAUUUAAUCUUUUCAACAGAUGAAUUUAAGACCCAC